rnacentral:rRNA from 1 species
GAUGAACGCUGGCGGCGUGCCUAAUACAUGCAAGUCGAGCGAAUGGAUUAAGAGCUUGCUCUUAUGAAGUUAGCGGCGGACGGGUGAGUAACACGUGGGUAACCUGCCCAUAAGACUGGGACAACUCCGGGAAACCGGGGCUAAUACCGGAUAACAUUUUGAACCGCAUGGUUCGAAAUUGAAAGGCGGCUUCGGCUGUCACUUAUGGAUGGACCCGCGUCGCAUUAGCUAGUUGGUGAGGUAACGGCCCAACAAGGCAACGAUGCGUAGCCGGCCUGAGAGGGUGAUGGGCCACACUGGGACUGGGACACGGCCCAGACUCCUACGGGAGGCAGCAGUAGGGAAUCUUCCGCAAUGGACGAAAGUCUGACGGAGCAACGCCCCGUGAGUGAUGAAGGCUUUCGGGUCGUAAAACUCUGUUGUUAGGGAAGAACAAGUGCUAGUUGAAUAAGCUGGCACCUUGACGGUACCUAACCAGAAAGCCACGGCUAACUACGUGCCAGCCGCCGCAGUAA